rnacentral:lncRNA from 1 species
UUUGUUUUCAAAUAAGAAUGUAAGCAUUUUACUUAAAUUUUACUGUUUGCAAGUAGUCAAUAGAAAUUUUGUUUUAAGUCUUCAAAUAUCUUGAAAAAUAGUAGACUGUAUGUUGAAAAUUGUACUGAAAUAAAGUAGAAAAUUGUUACGUACCAUAUUUGUAACUAUCAACUUUUAAAAAAAUACUUUUACUGUUUUUGUUACAUGCAUUGUAAUUCGCUUUGUCUAUAAGAUAUGGUCAAGUACAGCUCUGUGAAAGUUCUGAUUCUCUUCCUUCCCUGUUUGUUAAUGUUUAUUCUGAAGUAAACGUUAGCUCUACAUACAAAUCCCUGGGCAGAAGUUGUUUAUAGAGACCACACUAAUUAUUUUAACUAUAUACAUCUGUUUAACAUUCUCCUUAAUUCAAACACACUACAUUGUAGGGUGACUAAUUUUUGAGGUGUACCACAGAAAAGGUUCUUACUUUGGCAAACUAAGCUAAUUUAACACGUCAGCAAAUGUUUAAAAAGAGAAAAAAGCUUUAUCAAUAGUUAAAAAGUACAAGCUAUUAAAAGAUUGAAAAUUACAAGAAGUUUUUUUUUUUUUUAAUUGAAAGCAAGCAGUGGCCUAUAAAACCAUUCUUAGGAGCCUUUACUUAUGGGGCUGAAAAUUCAAUGUUUUUUCUAUUCUUAUUUGAAAGUUUGAGUCAUGGUCUUAGAUAUCAGCUAAUCUUUGAGAGAGGAACUGGUCUGUAAUAAUACAGAUGAAAAAAUCCAUUCUUACUGAUCAUCUUUAAGAAACAGAACAAAACCUGUAAUCCUGGUGUUGGUAUGGAAGAGGAUUAUCCUGCAGAAUAAGUUGAUACAUUAAAAAGAUGUACCUGAUUUCAUAUCUUACAUAUUUAUUUGAGCUUUUGGACAGCUGAAACAUUAGUUUGUAGUCUUAACCAUAAGGAAAAAUAGGCAAAAAAAACCAUUAUGUUAAUUAGUAUUUUAAGUAACUUGUUUUUCAAUAAAAAGUUUUGACAGGAAGUUUGUUGCAGCAUUGGUCUAACUUGGUUUUUACUUUUUCCCUAUUUUCAGUUGCAGUUUAUAAAAUGGCUUUUUCUUUUUCUUCCCAAGGGUUCUAUUCUUCAGGUAGAUAAUCUUUCAGAUGUGGAUUAUCUUUUUGUUUAUGCUGAUAGCUCUUAAGAUGAAAACUCAAAAUAGUAAAUUUCACUGUCAAGUCUCUGUCAGUGACCAUCUGUAAAAGUAGUCAAAUUUCAUUUGUUAAUUCAGGAACCAAGUUAGUUGUAUAUGUUUGCAUUAAAAGGAGGAAAUGCUAGUUCUGUUAAGUGUAAACUUUUUCAAAGAUCUUAAUAUAUGGAUCUUUCAUCCUUCGUGAUUUGCAGUGCUCCUAGCACCUUGAUUGCAGCCAAAGGCAUUUGCUAAGAACUGUAAGGGAAAAAUAAGAAAACAAAAUUCAAUAUACAUGAUGUUUAUGGCCCUAGGACCCUUAGUAUUGCAUGAUUUCUCCUAUUAAUUUUGUCUUUUCUGAAAUCGUUAGAGCAGAGGAAAUACUGUCAAAGCAAGUUUGUUGUUAUGUUAGUCAGGACACAGCUAAUCUCCUAGUCAGAAGAAUACUUAAUUACAUGCGAAAGCAACAUGGAUUUAAUCUUCAACACAAGAAUUUUCAUAACCAUUUUAUUUUAUACAAAUAAACUUAGCUUUUAUUUUAAGUUAUUAUUUGGUUAGAUACUGGAUCUCUGUGCAUGACUAUAAAUGUGCAGUUUUGUUUUUCCACUUAAGACAAUAGGAAAAAGGGAAUUUGCUGAGAAAUUACUUAAUAGGGAGUGGGAAUAAACCUGCCCAAAUUCUAUCAGCAGGUUAUAUUUUAAGUGCAAAUGUGCUGAUUUAACCCAAAUAGAUACAUGAUUCGGUUACUUUUAUUCUAUUACACAAAAUUGAGGAAAGAGGAUUAUACCAGAAUUUAGUAAGAAGGGUGAUAGAACUCUGCAGUAGGAUGCCAUUGUGGAUGUUCCCUUUUUCAGAGCCAAACAUAUGAAAAGCCUAUGUUGUGUUAAGCCACAUUUAACUCCACACUUCAUAACAUGUUACAAAGCUGAAUGGUAAGGGUAUUUGUUUACAAAUGACAGAAAAUAACUCUUUGAUACCUGCAUUAACAGACUUCCUUUUGCCUAGAGAAGGAAAAUAAAAAUGAACCAAAGGAUAUUUCCAGAAAGGAUUAAGAAACCUGUUUAAGAAGGCCAUGACUCAGUCUUUAGGUGUGUAUACCUUUCAACAUUCUAGGAAUUUUAAUAUAAAAUAGCAAAAUAUGUUUUUCCAAUUGCAGCCUACUUUAAGGAAUUAACUAUUGUUCCCUUUUGUCACAGUUAAAAUCAAGUGUUGGGAAUUAAAUUAUAAUUUGAGUAAAAAUACUACCCAAUACGAACGAAUGUAGAUGGCUAAACGAUUCUUACUUAGUGUGUUGUAUAUUGCAACAGGGACCCUUGUAAAU